GGAAUGAAGAAGGGAAUAAAACAUGAGUUAGAGAAAUAGAUGAAAAUUGGAAAAGAAAAAAAAUCCACAUGACUUAAGGGGAACAGUUUCCAGAAAUGUUAGGUAGCAAGGUGGGUCAGCUGGUCAGUGCAGAUAAAGUUAAAUCCAGGGGCACUGGAGGCCAGUGAGGUGAAAAGAGGGCCAGGCGUGUAAACGAAAGGGAAGAAAGAGCAGACAGCCCCGGUGCCCAUGUAUUUGUACUGGGUGCUCUAGAGUAACUGCCCAUCAAACAGCAGCUUUCCCUUGAAUUGAAACCAGAUGUCAGACUUCAAAGGGAAGGAGGCUGGGCAGAGGGGUAACUUGCCUCAAUUCUGAUCUUCCCAGGGCCAGGCAGGCUUUGAAAUGGGAAACCUGUUGCUCACCGUCACCAGUGCCAUUUGGGGCAGGUUGGGGUGGAGAGCACAAUCAGGGACCGAGGUCAUUAGUAACUGUCCAGCUAGUCCUGAAACUGGGCCAGCCUGGGAAGAUAAAGGACUGGACAAAGGAUUGGAGGGAAUUAUGAGUUGGCCCCCACCUCGCCGAGGAACCUCUGGAGGGUGGCUUCCUCUCUCUAGGCUCAGUUUCCUCAUCUGUCCAAGAAGAUUUGUCCUGGCUGUAUGAUUUUUUUUCAAACUGUAUGUCACUCUGAUCAUACCGAGUUGAUUGUAGGUUGUGGAGUCAAUUUAAUGGGUCAUGAUGAGACUUAAAAAUAAGAACUAAGGAUCAGGGAUUUAGCUCAGUGGUGCCGAGCCUGCCUCGCAAGUGCAAGGUCCUGAGUUCGCUCCUUGGUAUUGAAAAAAUAAAUGUCCUGACUCAUGUCAGGUCCAAAGGAUACAAAUGAGAACUCUGUUAUUUCACAGUGCACUGGCAGGUAAGGAGGAGCACUGCUUUGGGAGCCUUUUGUUCCUGUCACAUUUACCUAGAACAGGUUUGCGAGGCUACAAUCUAAGUACUUCACAUUGAUGAUAUUUUAUGUAACCCUCAUAACAAUCCGAGGGGUGCAGAUUGACUAUUACCAUAUCCAUUUUCCUGCUGAGACACUGAGGCACUUGUCUGAAGUUAUACAACCAGCAAUGGUAAGGAAGGACUUGGCUUUAGCCACCUGUGUCUGGAAUACAAGCACUUCACCAGGCAUCACACCCCAUGUGCGGACAUGGGUGUGUUUGUAAGUGAAAGAGUUGCUAAAAAGAUUUAUUUUAAAUAGUGGGUCAUAAUCAAAUAUAUUUGGAGGCCACUGGCCUAGACUCUCCGGCUGCUCUACAUUGCUGACUCCUGGCUCUAAGGUGGUUACAAAUGAAGCCAGUUUGUAUGAGGUGGGGUUCAGUACCUGGAGGCCCUGUGUUGCACCUUCAGCAUGCUGCUGGAAACUGGGCCUCACCCUGCAUAAUGGGAAGCAAGUGUUUUCCUACCAGGAUGCCCUUCAGUCUCCGAUUCCAAGCAAGACCGAAUCUGAAAACCAGCAGCAUUUCAUGGAUUUUCUGAUUUGCACCUCGCGGGGAGGGGGGCAUCUGCCAAGCAAACCGGCUGCUCUCUGACAUCCCAGUGUGGUCCUCAUCUACCUCCCACCCCAAGGAAAAGAUAAUCGGUUUAGUCAUGGCCACCUCUCGUUUGCUGAUCCUCCUUAUGACUCUGAAGAACACACUGACUCUGCCCCUGCUGAGAACAGUUCGAGCUGCAGCCUGCCUACCCUGGCUCUGCCUGGCCUCAGUCCCUUUCCCAUCCCCCAUUAAUCUUUGCUAUCAGCAUCCAGAUGUCCGGGACAGGAUAGAUGUCACGUGUCAUCAUGUCUGCUGCUGGCGCCAAAGUCUUUGGGCUCCUUGGAGCAGAGAUGCUGCACAGGGCCAGGCAUCGCAUGGCUGUUUAACCUUCCUAAAUGACGAGGGCCCUUCGGUGGGCAGACAGGUGUCACCUUCACGUGCUGUGGCCAAUUUGAGUAGGGCUUCUGUAUUCCACCUGCACAUGCCUGUCUCUUUACUACCCGUGGUGUGACCUACUGUCUCUUUCUAUCUUUCUCUCAAUAUCUGGACUCCUCCAGCUCCAGGGACUGGGAAGAAGGCAGAAAACAUUUUCAAAGACAACACUGUGCUGGAGCUCUGAGGUAGAAAUUGUACAUGAGAUGUUCUUCGCCUUUUUAAAAAAAUAAAUAUUUCUCUCCAGUAAUAAAUGUUUCAUUGCAUCCAAAGUUCUCCUUUACAGUCGACUUGGCACAGACAGUCAAGGAGGAGGAGAACAAAGCAGGCAAAAAGGAAGGGUGGUGGGAAUGGUGGGCAGAAACCGGGGAAGCCACUGUCACCAAAUGCGUCUCAGAAAUAACUGCCACUCAUCUUGGUGUCAGACCAAGAGCCUGUCCUUCCCCUCCCACCCCCUUCCUUGCCUCUUCUCUGAAACCAGCCAUCGGAUCUGAACACAAAAAUAAAUUGUUAAUCAAUGCAUGCCAUCCUGUUUAAUUAAUUUGUUGUACCAAACAGGGAAGGUGGGGGCAGGGGGCUGUUGCACUGGGAGAAAAUGAUGCUAAGGUAAUGGGCUUUUUUUCCUCCCUGUUUGUAAAUCAUGAUCCUGAUAUUUCUCUCUUCAAACUCCCCCUUGAAGACUACAAAGAAAUUUUUAAAAGCUGCCUUCAUUCUAGUGGAUGUGGGAAUUUAGCCAGAUAGAAUCAGAAGGUGUGUGUGUGUGUGUGUGUGUGUGUGUAUGUGUGAGGGACAGACAUGAGAGAGAGGGAGGGAGGGAGGAAAG